AAUAGGAUUGCAUCCUAUGCUUUAUUAAAUCGUCCCUUCGGGACU
rnacentral:sRNA from 1 species